rfam:Clostridiales bacterium CHKCI006 isolate CHKC6 genome assembly, contig: {contig141}
ACCCGAAGCCGGUGGCCGAACCGAAAGGAAGGAGCUGUCGAAGGUGGGUUUGAUGAUUGGGGUGAAGUCGUAACAAGGUAUCCCUACGGGAACGUGGGGAUGGAUCACCUCCUUU